UGCCUAACACAUGCAAGUCGAGCGAGAAAGCGGGGGCAACUCCGUGAGUACAGCGGCGACCGGGUGAGUAACACGUGACUAACCUACCCUCUUGUGGGGAAUAACCUUCCGAAAGGAGGGCUAAUACCGCAUAACAUCGCGGGGUGAAAAUCCCCGUGAUCAAAGGAGUGAUUCGCAGGAGGAGGGGGUCGCGGCUGAUUAGCUAGUUGGCGGGGUAACGGCCCACCAAGGCAGUGAUCAGUAGCCGGCCUGAGAGGGCGCACGGCCACACUGGAACUGAAACACGGUCCAGACUCCUACGGGAGGCAGCAGUGGGGAAUUUUGCGCAAUGGGGGAAACCCUGACGCAGCAACGCCGCGUGGAGGAUGAAGGUCUUUGGAUUGUAAACUCC
rnacentral:rRNA from 1 species